GAAGAAAAUGCUUGAGAAAAUAAGGAAAAAGAGAAAGCGAGAGAGACAUCCAAAGUGGCUAUGGAAUGGUGUAGCAGAUUGCUGCAGAUGGUUUCAAUAGUUCUGCUGAAUGCUCCUCGUUUGUGCCUGCAAGAGGAACUCAAGGCUUUAUGUAUGGCCAUUGCUGUGACCUAGUGUGAUGCUCUACUUUUCCACUGAACUCUGCUUGCUCUAACUGAGGACCUUAGCUAUAAUUUAGCCUUUUCUUUUUGUAAGUAACUACACAUAGCUGAGACAAAAUUAUUUUGAUGUUUAAAAAACAAGAAAGGCAGCCUAAGCCAGGUGGUGGUGGUGCACGCCUUUAAUCCCAGCACUUGGGAGGCAGAGGCAGGCGGAUUUCUGAGUUCGAGGCUAGCCUGCUCUACAAAGUGAGUUCCAGGACAGCCAGGGCUACACAGAGAAACCCUGUCUUGAAAACAAAACAAAACAAAAAACAAACAAGCAAAAAAAAAAAUUUGAUCAAAAGUUUGUGUUUCUAAUGUUCUCCUUUAUGAUUACAUUAUAAAGUACAUAGAAUCAUAUUGGCUUACUCCAAAUGCCAACUAUCUGAAACGUUUUAGAACAUAUAAAUCCAGUCCCCAUGGCAGUACAUUCUACUUCAUUAGUUACUAAUGUUAGAGAAUUGGGAUCUGUUCAUCUGAUCUUUCAAUUUUUUUCUGAAACAAUUGUUUCAAUAAUAUUGAU
rnacentral:lncRNA from 1 species